AACAUGAUUUAGUCAAACCUAGUUCGAAACGAAGAUAAAAUCAUUUUUGUUUCUUUUUUUAACUCGUAGUUUUAGCUUGAAAUUUUGAGUUGGAUUUUAGUUGCAAGCUUGCAUCUCACGUGGCGGUCGUUGGUUUGAAUGUGUUGGUAUAUGAUGUUGUGUUGAUGUUGAAUUUCUAGUUCGGUUUUGGUUUUUGGAAGUUCCAAUUUUGUUCUUGCACAUUCUGCUGUGCUUUGGGGGUUGCCGGGUUGGCCUUUGGUGUUAUUGGUCGUUUAUUGUUACUUGUUGUUGGCCGUAGUUGGCGUUUCAUUUGUUUAUUAAUUUGAUUGUUGACCGGUCCGGUUCCAUUUGCUAUUGUAUGUUUCUAAUUUUAUAUUUACUGGGUAGACUGGGGCAAUUUAACAAUUUAGUUUCAGGUACAGGUUUAAUGACGUCAGGAUAACUGCGGUCCUGGAAAACUUGUGUUUUUGGAAACGUCAACAUAAGACAAGAAAGAAGCAAAGAUGGAAUUGUAUCCGGGUCCUGACGACGAAGAGGACGAAGAGGACGAAGAGGAGUGGAUGGAACACAAGCUUCAACACCAGUACGGAUCCUGAACGAGAAGUCCAGAUGCUACAACCUGACGAUGAUCUGGUUUAUAAAGAGUGUUAAUGUCGUUGUUCGCUUUAUUUUUGUUGGUUGUAAUUGAAAUAAAAUUGAAUAAAAUUAUCCGAGAAAUAAAAUUA